rnacentral:pre_miRNA from 1 species
ACCCUACUAAAUCCUUGCCAAGAUUUCGUCAGACACCAGACCAUCAAGAUUGGUGAGACUCCCAAGAUAAGUAAGGCG